GUUACAUUGAUAUAGCUGAUGAUGAUGGGAGAAAAAGUAACGUCAAACGUCCCUCGGACUUAAUGCAACCAGAUAAUAUGGAGCGACACAAUUUCCACAGGCACAUCUUGGGGAGAGACGCCUGCCACAGCUUGGGGAGAGACGCCCACAUCGAUCUACUACAAGCUUGCCUGAUGCCAAUGUUGUUUAGGAUGAAACAGUUGGCUUCUAAAAUGGCAAGCAACUUUUUGAUGCAAUUUUGCAAUGGGUUAAUUUCUGAAGGAUGCUAGAGAAUACUUGGUUCGAUACUACAUGAUGGACAAGAUGAAGGAUGUAGCGCAGCUGAAGAUGCAUGUGUUGUUGAUCAGACUACCAUGGUAUAUCUCUUCAUUUCUACCAUGGACAGAUAUGUAAUGGAAGAUAUAUUCUUGUUUUACUCACUACUUUCGUAUGUGCUACUAGAUGGCUUACACCCUUCUUUCAGAGAUAUAUGAAGGGGACAAAUGGUAGGAUUUUGUGUGCUAUGUGCUUAGUUUGUACUCCACCCGAGAUUAAAGUGCAGAGGCUGCUGUCCCUUGAAUAAUGUAUGACACGAUGCAAUACAAACCACUAUCGCUGAGAGCUCCGUUCCAUGGUGGGCUAUGUCAAAAUGAUCAUGCUCUUUGGGAAUGAGACACGGGCCGGUGACACAUUGCAAAGAAGUUUGUUCUCUAAAGCCUUUUGAAUGAGGGAACUCGGCCAUUUCUACUUAUCAUUUUGUCAAGGGAUCAGCAAUGAAAUUGGCAAUUACGCCAAGAUAGAGGCACAUAAGAAGAUGGCUUUUGGGAUCCUCCAGAC